AUUGUUUUUGAUUUAACGAGUUGGAGUGGUCCGGUGGAUGUUUUGGACCAAAGGAUAACAAUGAAGGAGACGUUAGAUAGAUCAGAGCUGCGCAGAAUGCAAAGAGAGCAAGAGCGAGAACGACGCCGUAUUAGGGACCGGCAGAGAAGGCAGUCCAUGACGGUUGAACAAAGAGAACGACAUCUCGCUCGGCGUCGUAGGAACUAUCAGCUCAGAAGACUGAGAGCUGAAAAUGCCAAAGCUGAUGUCCAAUCCAAUCAAAUCAGCAGUGGAAACCAUGAAGCUGUGAGCGAUGUUCAAGAAGUUACUCAAGGUCUGGAUGCUGUGGCGUGUAAAGCCUCUAAUUUGAACGUCAGACGGCUGCGGUUGAGUCACGUAAGGCGGCUUGCGCGAUCGGCCAGUCGGUUAGGGAGUGAGGUUAUUGCUGAUCACCGCAUUACUGGAGAGGAGGUAGCAAAGAGUGAUGCUAAUAAUAUGUCUUGUAAGUUGUGGCAGUGUUCUAGUGUUAUGGUGGAUGUAAUUUAAGUGGGAACUUUUUGUAAAUUUGAUUACAUCUUUACUACAUGCAGUAGGAUUCCAAGAUGGAGAUUUUAAUUCUGGAAGAUUGCCAAAUGGACUACGUUUGAGUCGUGUUAAGCGCCUUGCGCGGACAAUAAAUACUGCUUCUAAUGAGGCUUCUGUUAAUGGUCAACAAGUAAUAGAAAAAAAUACGAUGGAUCAAAGUCAUUCCCAGGGAGAAAGUCAAGGGAUUAGUAAUGACAGUUAUAAUUUGGACAAACUAUCGCUUGCAGAGGUGAAGUUGAAGGACCUAACGUGGGCGGAUAACCACCCACCAUUGGCUAAUGUUGAGAGUUAAGCUUUAGCUGCACAUGAAAAAUGCAUGUUUUGCAGCUCUUCUUUACCGGUUGUUGAUUACAGACUUGUAAGUCAGAAACCAUUCAUCUUUUGUUUCCAUCCAUGUUUGUUAUCAUCUUUGAGGUCAACUUCAUAAAAUACUUGCACAGUGUUUCUUUAC